rnacentral:rRNA from 1 species
GAUGAACGCUGGCGGUGUGCCUAAUACAUGCAAGUCGAGCGAACAGACGAGGAGCUUACUCCUCUGACGUUAGCGGCGGACGGGUGAGUAACACGUGGAUAACCUACCUAUAAGACUGGGAUAACUUCGGGAAACCGGAGCUAAUACCGGAUAACAUGUUGAACCGCAUGGUUCAACAGUGAAAGACGGUCUUGCUGUCACUUAUAGAUGGAUCCGCGUCGCAUUAGCUAGUUGGUAAGGUAACGGCUUACCAAGGCAACGAUGCGUAGCCGACCUGAGAGGGGAAUCGGCCACACUGAAACUGGAACACGGUCAGACUCCUACGGGAGGCAGCAGUAGGGAAUCUUCCGCAAUGGGCGAAAGCCUGACGGAGCAACGCCGCGUGAGUGAAGAAGGUCUUCGGAUCGUAAAACUCUGUUAUUAGGGAAGAACAAAUGUGUAAGUAACUAUGCACGUCUUGACGGUACCUAAUCAGAAAGCCACGGCUAACUACGUG